AUGACACCACUCCCACUGCAACCAUGGAGACCAGUUUAUGGGAGGCAGUGUUUGUUGUUGUUUUUUAAUUUCCCCUCCUUCCCUCCCUCCCUCCCUUCUUCCUCUCUUUCCCGCCUUCUUUCUUCUCUCCCUCCUUCUCUUCCUUCCUUCCUCCCUCUCCCCCUCCAUCUUUCUCUUCCUCCUUCCCUCCCUCCUUUUUUCUUCCUCCCUCCUUUUCUUCCUUCCUUCCCUCCCUCCCUUCUUUCAUCUUUUUUUGUAGAAAACAUCAGCCUAACCCAUUCCCACCUGUCAGGAACCAUCCCCUGGCCUUUCAGCUCCUUCCCAGAACUAUUUGGCAACUGGACAUCCUGCAGGAGAAUCAGAGGUGGGAAAGCAAAGAGACUGAACAUCUGUUACCUAAGGAAGAAGCCAGCAGUCAGGAAUUUGGUCCUUUGUGAUAUGAGCUGCAAAUUUUAAGAAUUUUCGGAGAAGGAAAUGGCAACCCACUCCAGUGUUCUUGCCUGGAGAAUCCCAGGGACGGGGGAGCCUGAUGGGCUGCCGUCUACGGGGUCACAUAGAGUCGGACACGACUGAAGCGACUUAGCAGCAAUAAAAGGUCAUAAUAAACUUUGUGAAUGAAACA
ensembl:lncRNA